AACUGCCUGAUGGAGGGGGAUAACUACUGGAAACGGUAGCUAAUACCGCAUAACGUCGCAAGACCAAGAGGGGACCUUCGGGCCUCUUGCCAUCGGAUGUGCCCAGAUGGGAUUAGCUAGUAGGUGGGGUAACGGCUCACCUAGGCGACGAUCCCUAGCUGGUCUGAGAGGAUGACCAGCCACACUGGAACUGAGACACGGUCCAG
rnacentral:rRNA from 1 species